UCCGUAGGCGGCUUUUCAAGUUAAAAGUAAAAUCAAAAAGCUUAACUUUUUUGAGGCUUUUAAUACGUUAGAGCUUGGAGUUUGAAGGGAGAUAGUAGAAUUUCAUAUGGAGGGGUGAAAUCCGUAGAAUUAUGAAGGAAUACUGAUGGCGAAGGCGACUAUCUAUUUCAAUCUGACGCUGAGGGACGAAAGCAUGGGGAGCAAACA
rnacentral:rRNA from 1 species